AUAUAUAUAUAUUUGUUGUCCGUGUUCCUCGCAGAGAAAAUAAUUUCUCAAGAUAUCUUUAUCAGUAACGGAUCAUAACUGUCAACUGUAUGCUGCAAAUUAAUGAGAUUCCUGCAGCCCUUAUGAAGGUUCUAUUCAUGCAUUAUUGCAUUUGCAUAGUUAUUUAUAGGUAAUAGCAACACUGUUUAUUAAGGUAGAAAAGGGAUGAAUUAUUGGAAUAUAUCUAUUUUUUUAAUAAUUUUAGGGGAUAUGCACUGCUGGAAGAAACUGCUCGAAGUUAUCACUUGGGCUCAACUAGAAUCCACGAUAACCCGUGGGGCUGUUGAACGUGGAUGGCUACUACAACUCGUUGCUGUCAUUCAUGGACAAUGCUGUAGACGAAGGAUUCAUUACACCAGCUGCCCGUGACAUUAUUGUCUCUGCCCAAACUGCCCAAGACCUCAUGUCGAAGUCUUGAGGUUGUACAUAAACAUUGCCAUGAAAAUGCUCAUUUUUUAUUUUUCCAUUUUCUUAAAUUAAUAAAAAGAUUUAAUUGGUUUUUCCUUUUUUUCUUGUGAAUUUUUUUAUGAUAAAUUUUCCAGGAAUAAUGUGCCGAAGCACCGUGUUGUGGCACCGAAGCUGAGUUGGGAGAUGGACCACAGUUAAUAAAGAGAUCACAAACCAUUGCAGAAUGAGAUGAAAUGAACUUCAAUUUUCUCUUUAGAAAAUAGCUUUCUCAAUACAUUUUGUAUUUUCUUAAUUGCCCACAAUUUGAUCAAACAAGAACAAUUUCCGUC